rnacentral:rRNA from 1 species
CGAACGGGUGGGUAACGCGUGAGGAACCUGCCUCAAAGAGGGGGACAACAGUUGGAAACGACUGCUAAUACCGCAUAAGCCCACGGCUCGGCAUCGAGCAGAGGGAAAAGGAGCAAUCCGCUUUGAGAUGGCCUCGCGUCCGAUUAGCUAGUUGGUGAGGUAAUGGCCCACCAAGGCGACGAUCGGUAGCCGGACUGAGAGGUUGAACGGCCACAUUGGGACUGAGACACGGCCCAG